CGGACGGGUGAGUAAUGUCUGGGAAACUGCCUGAUGGAGGGGGAUAACUACUGGAAACGGUAGCUAAUACCGCAUAACGUCGCAAGACCAAAGAGGGGGACCUUCGGGCCUCUUGCCAUCGGAUGUGCCCAGACGGGAUUAGCUAGUAGGUGGGGUAACGGCUCACCUAGGCGACGAUCCCUAGCUGGUCUGAGAGGAUGACCAGCCACACUGGAACUGAGACACGGUCCAG
rnacentral:rRNA from 1 species